AAGAGUUCUCUUUUCUUCUUAACAGCCUAUCACCCUGAAAUCGGUUUGUCCGGAGCUAGGGUUUAACGGUUGGUAGAGCUCGACACCUCUGUCGGGUCCGGUGCGCUCUCGACGUCCCUUGAAAAUCCGCGGGAAGGAAUAGCUUUCAAGCCAGGUCGUACUCAUAACCGCAGCAGGUCUCCAAGGUGAACAGCCUCUAGUUGAUAGAACAAUGUAGAUAAGGGAAGCCGGCAAGAUAGAUCCGUACGUUCG
rnacentral:rRNA from 1 species